rnacentral:rRNA from 1 species
UUCCUACGGGUGGCUGCAGUCGAGAAUCUUCCGCAAUGGGCGAAAGCCUGACGGAGCGACGCCGCGUGCGGGAUGAAGGCCCUUGGGUUGUAAACCGCUGUCAGGGGGGAUGAAAGCGCAAGCUUGACAGAGCCCCAGAGGAAGCACGGGCUAAGUUCGUGCCAGCAGCCGCGGUAAGACGAACUGUGCGAACGUUAUUCGGAAUCACUGGGCUUACAGGGUGCGUAGGCGGCCACGUAAGUAGGGUGUGAAAUCCCCCGGCCCAACCGGGGAACUGCGCUCUAAACUACAUGGCUUGAGUGAGCUAGGGGUCCACGGAACUUCCAGUGGAGCGGUGAAAUGUGUUGAUAUUGGAAGGAACACCGGAGCCGAAAGGGGUGGACUGGGGCUCAACUGACGCUGAGGCACGAAAGCCAGGGUAGCGAACGGGAUUAGAUACCCCAGUAGUCGG